CAGGUAACCUCCUACCGUAUAGAUGCGUCCUUUGUGUUGCUCACACAGAUUGUCUGAUUGAAGGCGGGAGCAUGGCGCCGCGGCUUUUAUCUCAAGACCAAACUUCUUAUUUACGGUCAAGCUUGAUUCAUUAUUACAAUAGUACAAAGGUUCAACAACCGUUCUCUUGGUUCUUGCAUCGGUUUUGAACGAAACGAAGGCCUACGUCAUGAAUUGCAGAUAUUGCUGAAUUUCAGGUCUUUGAACGCACAUUGCGCCCUUUGGUAUUCCAAAGGGCAUGGCUGUUUGAGCGUCACUUCUCCCUGUUCCCCCGGGUUUGGUGUUGAGCUUUUGCCUAGGUUUGAUUGAAAUAAUUUUGAGGUUAACUCAUUUAACACCCCUUGGUGUUACCCAGAAACUCUAAUUUUCUCAAGGCCAUCCUAAAUUAUUUUAAACCUUUGAACUUUAAUAAGGUAAGACAACCCGCGGAACUUGAGGAUGUCAAUACAGGGAGGGAAAAAACACCCACCAAUUAAUCUGAAUGUAUAGGUGAAUGAAGCGAUACGAACCGAACUGACACAUCUAAUGCACGAGGAAAAAAACUCAACCAACUCACUAUCAUUAACUGAAUCCUUAAGGUUAGUGAGGCGGAACCAGCUGAACUGAUAAAUCUAAGUACCCAAAACAAAAACAAACAAACCA
rnacentral:rRNA from 1 species